GACGAACGCUGGCGGCGUGCUUAACACAUGCAAGUCGAACGGAAAGGCCCUGCUUUUGUUGGGUGCUCGAUUGGCGAACGGGUGAGUAACACGUGAGUAACCUGCCCUUGACUUUGGGAUAACUUCAGGUAACUGGGGCUAAUACCGGAUAGGAGCUCCUGCUGCAUGGUGGGGGUUGGAAAGUUUCGGCGGUUGGUGAUGGACUCGCGGCUUAUCAGCUUGUUGGUGGGGUAGUGGCUUACCAAGGCUUUGACGGGUAGCCGGCCUGAGAGGGUGACCGGCCACAUUGGGACUGAGAUACGGCCCAGACUCCUACGGGAGGCAGCAGUGGGGAAUAUAGCACAAUGGGCGGAAGCCAGAUGCAGCAACGCAGCGUGCGGGAUGACGGCAUUCGGGUUGUAAACCGCUUUCGCCUGUGACGAAGCGUGAGUGACGGGAAUGGGUAAAGAAGCACCGGCUAACUACGG
rnacentral:rRNA from 1 species